rnacentral:rRNA from 1 species
UACGUAGGGGGCAAGCGUUGUCCGGAAUCAUUGGGCGUAAAGCGCGUGUAGGCGGCUUGGUAAGUCCGCUCUGAAAGCCCGGGGCUCAACCCCGGGAGGCGGGUGGAUACUGUCAAGCUCGAGUCCGGAAGAGGCGAGUGGAAUUCCCGGUGUAGCGGUGAAAUGCGCAGAUAUCGGGAGGAACACCUAUGGCGAAGGCAGCUCGCUGGGACGUUACUGACGCUGAGACGCGAAAGCGUGGGGAGCAAACAGG